rnacentral:lncRNA from 1 species
UUCACCUCCACGGUCUCCUUUAACUACAGUAUCAAAACAAUUCUGUAAAGUUGGCAUCAUCCUAAUUUUGCAGAGGACUAAACGAAGGGCUAAAGAAGACUGAUGAGGACAACGCACUGUUUCCUGUAUUUGGGGAACUUUACAUCUCAGCUGGGAGAUGAUCUUGGGCAAUGGGACACAGGACGGCAAGUUUCCAUGAGAGGACAGGAGUCCCUGCUGAGAAGGGCAUUGGAGAGGGGCUGUGAAGAGAAUCAGAUGAGCUCAUAGAUGAGAAAACUAACUUGAAAGUUAAAAAGAUCUUUCCACAACUCCUCUGCCUGAGCUGGCCCUGAAAUCUCUGAAAGCACAGUGUUCAUUUCCUGUCCGGGACCAGUUCUGUGGCCCUCCU